rnacentral:rRNA from 1 species
UAUGGUGCAAGCGUUAUCCGGAUUUACUGGGUGUAAAGGGAGCGCAGGUGGCAUGGCAAGCCAGAAGUGAACGCCCGGGGCUUAACCGCGGGACUGCUUUUGGAACUGUUGUGCUGGAGUGCAGGAGGGGUAAGCGGAAUUCCUAGUGUAGCGGUGAAAUGCGUAGAUAUUAGGAAGAACACCGGUGGCGAAGGCGGCUUACUGGACUGUAACUGACACUGAGGCUCGAAAGCGUGGGGAGCAA